rnacentral:rRNA from 1 species
GACGAACGCUGGCGGCGUGCUUAACACAUGCAAGUCGAACGAAGUGGCGAACGGGUGAGUAACGCGUAAUCAACCUGCCCUUCAGAGGGGGACAACAGUUGGAAACGACUGCUAAUACCGCAUAGUGAAGGAGGGGAUUGCGUCUGAUUAGCUAGUUGGAGGGGUAACUGCCCACGAAGGCGAUGAUCAGUAGCCUGUCUGGGGGGAUGAACGGCCACAUUGGGACUGAGACCAGGCCCAGACUCCUACUGGAGGCAGCAGUGGGGAAUCUUCCGCAAUGGACGAAAGUCUGACGGAGCCACGCCGCGUGAGUUAUGACGGCCUUCGGGUUGUAAAGCUCUGUUAAUCGGGACGCGGUACCGGAAUAGAAAGCCACGGCUAACUACGUGCCAGCCGCCGCGGUAAUAC